rnacentral:rRNA from 1 species
GAUGAACGCUGGCGGCGUGCCUAAUACAUGCAAGUCGAGCGAACGGACGAGAAGCUUGCUUCUCUGAUGUUAGCGGCGGACGGGUGAGUAACACGUGGAUAACCUACCUAUAAGACUGGGAUAACUUCGGGAAACCGGAGCUAAUACCGGAUAAUAUUUUGAACCGCAUGGUUCAAAAGUAAAAGACGGUCUUGCUGUCACUUAUAGAUGGAUCCGCGCUGCAUUAGCUAGUUGGUAAGGUAACGGCUUACCAAGGCAACGAUGCAUAGCCGACCUGAGAGGGUGAUCGGCCACACUGGAACGGAGACACGGUCCAGACUCCUACGGGAGGCAGCAGAAGGGAAUCUUCCGCAAUGGGCGAAAGCCUGACGGAGCAACGCCGCGUGAGUGAUGAAGGUCUUCGGAUCGUAAAACUCUGUUAUUAGGGAAGAACAUAUGUGUAAGUAACUGUGCACAUCUUGACGGUACCUAAUCAGAAAGCCACGGCUAACUACGUG